rnacentral:rRNA from 1 species
GGUUAAGCGACUAAGCGUACACGGUGGAUGCCCUGGCAGUCAGAGGCGAUGAAGGACGUGCUAAUCUGCGAAAAGCGUCGGUAAGGUGAUAUGAACCGUUAUAACCGGCGAUGUCCGAAUGGGGAAACCCAGUGCAAUUCGUUGCACUAUCGUUAACUGAAUACAUAGGUUAACGAGGCGAACCGGGGGAACUGAAACAUCUAAGUACCCCGAGGAAAAGAAAUCAACCGAGAUUCCCCCAGUAGCGGCGAGCGAACGGGGAGCAGCCCAGAGUCUGAAUCAGCUUGUGUGUUAGUGGAACGGUCUGGAAAGUCCGACGGUACAGGGUGAUAGUCCCGUACACCAAAAUGCACAGGCUGUGAACUCGAAGAGUAGGGCGGGACACGUGGUAUCCUGUCUGAAUAUGGGGGGACCAUCCUCCAAGGCUAAAUACUCCUGACUGACCGAUAGUGAACCAGUACCGUGAGGGAAAGGCGAAAAGAACCCCGGCGAGGGGAGUGAAAAAGAACCUGAAACCGUGUACGUACAAGCAGUGGGAGCACCUUCGGGUGUGACUGCGUACCUUUUGUAUAAUGGGUCAGCGACUUAUAUUCUGUAGCAAGGUUAACCGUAUAGGGGAGCCGCAGGGAAACCGAGUCUUAACUGGGCGUUAAGUUGCAGGGUAUAGACCCGAAACCCGGUGAUCUAGCCAUGGGCAGGUUGAAGGUUGGGUAACACUAACUGGAGGACCGAACCGACUAAUGUUGAAAAAUUAGCGGAUGACUUGUGGCUGGGGGUGAAAGGCCAAUCAAACCGGGAGAUAGCUGGUUCUCCCCGAAAGCUAUUUAGGUAGCGCCUCGUGAAUUCAUCUUCGGGGGUAGAGCACUGUUUCGGCUAGGGGGUCAUCCCGACUUACCAACCCGAUGCAAACUACGAAUACCGAAGAAUGUUAUCACGGGAGACACACGGCGGGUGCUAACGUCCGUCGUGAAGAGGGAAACAACCCAGACCGCCAGCUAAGGUCCCAAAGUCAUGGUUAAGUGGGAAACGAUGUGGGAAGGCACAGACAGCCAGGAUGUUGGCUUAGAAGCAGCCAUCAUUUAAAGAAAGCGUAAUAGCUCACUGGUCGAGUCGGCCUGCGCGGAAGAUGUAACGGGGCUAAACCAUGCACCGAAGCUGCGGCAGCGACACUAUGUGUUGUUGGGUAGGGGAGCGUUCUGUAAGCCUGCGAAGGUGUGCUGUGAGGCAUGCUGGAGGUAUCAGAAGUGCGAAUGCUGACAUAAGUAACGAUAAAGCGGGUGAAAAGCCCGCUCGCCGGAAGACCAAGGGUUCCUGUCCAACGUUAAUCGGGGCAGGGUGAGUCGACCCCUAAGGCGAGGCCGAAAGGCGUAGUCGAUGGGAAACAGGUUAAUAUUCCUGUACUUGGUGUUACUGCGAAGGGGGGACGGAGAAGGCUAUGUUAGCCGGGCGACGGUUGUCCCGGUUUAAGCAUGUAGGCUGGUUGUCCAGGCAAAUCCGGAUAAUCAAGGCUGAGGUGUGAUGACGAGGCACUACGGUGCUGAAGUAACAAAUGCCCUGCUUCCAGGAAAAGCCUCUAAGCAUCAGGUAACAUCAAAUCGUACCCCAAACCGACACAGGUGGUCAGGUAGAGAAUACCAAGGCGCUUGAGAGAACUCGGGUGAAGGAACUAGGCAAAAUGGUGCCGUAACUUCGGGAGAAGGCACGCUGGUGUGUAGGUGAAGCCCCUGCGGGUGGAGCUGAGACCAGUCGAAGAUACCAGCUGGCUGCAACUGUUUAUUAAAAACACAGCACUGUGCAAACACGAAAGUGGACGUAUACGGUGUGACGCCUGCCCGGUGCCGGAAGGUUAAUUGAUGGGGUUAUCCGUAAGGAGAAGCUCUUGAUCGAAGCCCCGGUAAACGGCGGCCGUAACUAUAACGGUCCUAAGGUAGCGAAAUUCCUUGUCGGGUAAGUUCCGACCUGCACGAAUGGCGUAAUGAUGGCCAGGCUGUCUCCACCCGAGACUCAGUGAAAUUGAACUCGCUGUGAAGAUGCAGUGUACCCGCGGCAAGACGGAAAGACCCCGUGAACCUUUACUAUAGCUUGACACUGAACAUUGAGCCUUGAUGUGUAGGAUAGGUGGGAGGCUUUGAAGCGUGGACGCCAGUCUGCGUGGAGCCAACCUUGAAAUACCACCCUUUAAUGUUUGAUGUUCUAACGUUGGCCCCUUACCGGGGUUGCGGACAGUGUCUGGUGGGUAGUUUGACUGGGGCGGUCUCCUCCCAAAGCGUAACGGAGGAGCACGAAGGUUAGCUAAUCCUGGUCGGACAUCAGGAGGUUAGUGCAAUGGCAUAAGCUAGCUUGACUGCGAGCGUGACGGCGCGAGCAGGUGCGAAAGCAGGUCAUAGUGAUCCGGUGGUUCUGAAUGGAAGGGCCAUCGCUCAACGGAUAAAAGGUACUCCGGGGAUAACAGGCUGAUACCGCCCAAGAGUUCAUAUCGACGGCGGUGUUUGGCACCUCGAUGUCGGCUCAUCACAUCCUGGGGCUGAAGUAGGUCCCAAGGGUAUGGCUGUUCGCCAUUUAAAGUGGUACGCGAGCUGGGUUUAGAACGUCGUGAGACAGUUCGGUCCCUAUCUGCCGUGGGCGCUGGAGAAUUGAGGGGGCUGCUCCUAGUACGAGAGGACCGGAGUGGACGCAUCACUGGUGUUCGGGUUGUCAUGCCAAUGGCACUGCCCGGUAGCUAAAUGCGGAAGAGAUAAGUGCUGAAAGCAUCUAAGCACGAAACUUGCCCCGAGAUGAGUUCUCCCUGAGACUAUAAGUCUCCUGAAGGAACGUUAAAGACGAUGACGUUGAUAGGCCGGGUGUGUAAGCGCAGCGAUGCGUUGAGCUAACCGGUACUAAUGAACCGUGAGGCUUAACCUU